rnacentral:rRNA from 1 species
UACGUAGGGGGGCAAGCGUUAUCCGGAAUCAUUGGGCGUAAAGCGCGUGUAGGCGGUUCCGUAAGUCCGCUCUGAAAGCCCAGGGCUCAACCCCUGGGAGGCGGGUGGAUACUACGGAACUGGAGUACGGAAGAGGAGAUUGGAAUUCCUGGUGUAGCGGUGAAAUGCGCAGAUAUCAGGAGGAACACCAACAGCGAAGGCAGAUCUCUGGGACGUUACUGACGCUGAGACGCGAAAGCGUGGGGAGCAAACAGG